ACUAAUUUCGAUACAUAUGACUACGAAGAUAGAAGAAGUAUAAGAAGACUGAGGACAUGGUCUGUUACAAUGUAGGAAGAAUGUGGUCUAUAUUACUGAAAUGGAAAUCAAAGCUUUGAACAAGGCUGGUGACUGGCAAGAAUGCAGGGACCCGGUCCUUUGCAGAGUGUUCUCAUCCAGCGCAAGAUGUUGUAUAACUGAAAUGCUAUCUUGUCAGUGGUUGGUGAAGUUAUCAGCAUACUUAACUAAUAGGAAUGGACGAGAUUAUUUGUCUAAUGGUCAAUAAUUCUUCUUGGAAUAAUAUGUUCACUAUGACAAACAAUUAACAAGACUAUUCAUUCAAAAAAAAAAUCAAGCUUCAAACGAAA